UACGUAGGCAGCAAGCGUUGUUCGGAGUUACUGGGCGUAAAGGGUGCGUAGGCGGUUGUUUAAGUUUGGUGUGAAAUCUCCCGGCUCAACUGGGAGGGUGCGAAGAAUACUGAAUGACUAGAGUGCGGGAGAGGAGAGUGGAAUUCCUGGUGUAGCGGUGAAAUGCGUAGAUAUCAGGAGGAACACCGGUGGUGUAGACGGCUCUCUGGACCGUAACUGACGCUGAGGCACGAAAGCGUGGGUAGCAAACAGG
rnacentral:rRNA from 1 species